GUAUGGAGCUUACGCCGGUGCCGGAGAGGGUCAGAAAAAAGCGUACAACAGCUUCGGGAAUGAUUUCGGAGGGUAUGCUAAGCAGGGCAAAAAUGGGUACUCCAAGUAUAGUGCCGUCAGCAAAACUUAUAACGCUGUGAAUAGGGAGGAAGGACAAAACACAUUCAAUAAUAAUGGAGCGUAUGGGGCUCUCGGUAAACAGUCCGGACUAGGCAGUGCCGUUGCAAAGGCGAAUUAUGCUGGAAACUACGGUUUGUUGUCUGGAGGCCAGCGGAAAAACUACGGCCUGCAGUAUGGCGCCAGUGUGGGACAAAACGGCGGUGCAGUGAUGGGAGGCGGUGCGUCAUAUGGCGGAUAAGUGAAGUUAUCCGUAACUAAUUAUCCGCCAAGAAACUAAAACUCACUCUCAGACGACACUAUCUAACCGAAAACGGCAAAUUAGAUUCAACAGGCAGCCAAGCUCCCCUGCAGUAGUCAGCUCUCACAGCGACCGAGAUUAGAGAUCAUCACAGCGCAAUGUCCACGCCAAGCACCGAAUCCUAGACUACCCUAACCACAUGAACUCGAAAUUGGUCGCUGUAGGGAGCCACUGUCUCAUUUAUGUAAAUUGAUAUGUGACGAGCAUUAAAGCUUUUAAAGUA